GCUGUGGGCACGUGACGCGGGGUAUUAGCGCGAGGCUGGGGUGCGUGGGGGGUGUAAGGUAGUCUUCCGGGGGCUGCUUAGGCGCGUGGUGGGGAGUGGGGUUUGGGCACGCGGAGUGGCUGCUGGCUUGACUCUGGAGGCUUGUCGCUUCCCCGACCUGUCCGUGGGAAAGGUGCGGCGUCACUGCUUAGGAACGCUGAACGCGAGAGCUGGUGUUCUCCAGAGCAGAAGGGUUCCGAGGCCCAGGCGCACGUACUUGUCUUCCUUCCUGGUCGAGCUAGACGCUUCUUCAGGCAUAGACUUACCGCAGGGUGCUGAAAUAAACCACCCGAACACACCCCUGCUCGUCCUCCCCUCACCGCGUGCUGACUUGAAGGGCUGUUGGAGGUUGGUGCUAAUACAGCUUUCGCUUUCAGGGGCUGACUCUGGAAGCCAGCGCCCUCCGGGGAUGUGACGGGGCAGCUCCGUCAGCCCUCAGCGAGACCCACGGAGUAGACUCGAACGAACACCUGUUGUCCGCCAGACCUUGCCGUGGCUGCUCAGGGGCCUCUGCCUUAUAAUUCUGCUUGUUAAUUGAAAUACACCUAAGCCUGGUAACUGGAGAGUCCAGGAAAGAAUGAGCGAUCCUGGGAGGACAGAGUGCGGCAGGGUUAGCGCUCCGGAGGGCAACCUCCCCAGAGCUGGCUUUUCUCAUGGGCGGCAAUUCCUCGCGGCGGUGCUAGAGACACUGUGAAGAUUAAAUGAAAGGCCCUUGGAGGACUGUAUGGCACAUAGCUAAGUACCAGCAACUCAAUAAACUGUUGCUAGUUGUUCAGAACCUAUCACACCAAGAAGGAAUCCUAAUGUAAACAAUGGACUUUGGGGAUAAUGUUCUGUCCACAUAGGUUCAUCAGUUGAAAAAAAUAAAUACCCCACGCUGGUGCAGGAUGUGGAUAGUGGAGGAUUUGGACUUGUGUUGGGACCAGA